UGCCCAAGAGAUCGGGAUAACACCUGGAAACAGAUGCUAAUACCGGAUAACAACAGAUGAUGCCUAUCAACUGUUUAAAAGAUGGUUCUGCUAUCACUCUUGGAUGGACCUGCGGUGCAUUAGCUAGUUGGUAGGGUAACGGCCUACCAAGGCGAUGAUGCAUAGCCGAGUUGAGAGACUGAUAGGCCACAUUGGGACUGAGACACGGCCCAAACUCCUACGGGAGGCAGCAGCU
rnacentral:rRNA from 1 species